rnacentral:rRNA from 1 species
ACAGCAGUAGCCGCGGUAAUACGUAGGUCCCGAGCGCUGUCCGGAUUUAUUGGGCGUAAAGCGAGCGCAGGCGGUUAGAUAAGUCUGAAGUUAAAGGCUGUGGCUUAACCAUAGUACGCUUUGGAAACUGUUUAACUUGAGUGCAAGAGGGGAGAGUGGAAUUCCAUGUGUAGCGGUGAAAUACGUAGAUAUAUGGAGGAACACCGGUGGCGAAAGCGGCUCUCUGGCUUGUAACUGACGCUGAGGCUCGAAAGCGUGGGGAGCAAACAGGAUUAGAUACCCCCGUAGUCCCUGUCUCUUAUACA